AGAGGCGCCGCGGGAGGGGGUGCUCUCGGGCGAGCUCUCCAGCCGCGGCCCCCGCCCCUGCGCUGUCGGGCGGGGAGGUCGGAAACCCCCUGGCGAGACCACGGGCGGACGCUUCCCGAAGAGCUGCCUGGGCCGCAGCCGCGGAAGCUGCGUUCUGGGGAGCGGGGAGCGUGCUCUGGCGCCCUCGGGCCGCUGCUGGAAGCCAGAACCGAGCCCGGGCCGCUGCCCCUCACCGGACGCCGCGCGCCACCGGCCCUCCGCGGGGCAGGGGCUGCUGCGAGCUCGCCGGGCGCCCUUUAGACAGUCGUCCUUGUCUACUCCACUACCAAAUGUUGAAGUUCUUCAAGAAUCAGUCCUUUGGAGGCAUUUAAGGAAAUCUGUUUCUCUUUUGGAUCACUAGCUGCAAAUUAAGCUAACAGAACAGAAGCUCAGCUGGUCACACACAGCAACAAAUACAGACUUUAUAAAGUUCAGAAAAGUUACCAAACAGUGGUAACCAUAACAAGUACCAACAAUGAACUAUGGGGAGGGAGGAGAAUCUGAUUUCCAGAGUUACCACAUUAUAAUACUAUUCAAAAUGUCACAUUUUUAGCAAAGAUUACAGGACAAGGAAAAACCAGAAAAGUAUGGCCCAUACACAGGUAAAAAAAGAAAUUAAUAGAAACUACCCCUGAAGAAGCACAGACUUCGGAUGUACAAAACAAAGACUUUUCAUCAACUCUUUUAGAUAUGCUAGAAGAGCUAAAGGAAACCAUGGACAGAGAACAAAAAAAUUAGGAAAGCAAUGUCUCAUCCAAUACAGAAUAUCAAUAAAGAGAUUGAAAUUGUAGAAAAGAACCAAAUAGAAAUUCUGGAGUUGAAAAGUAUUAUAACUAAAACUGAAAAUUCACUGGAGGUAUUCAGCAGCAGACUGGAGAAGUCAGAAGAAAGAAUCAACAGGCUUCAAGAUAGGUCAAUUAAGAUUAUACAGUCUGAGGAGCAGAAAGGAAAAAGAAUGAAGAAAAAUGAACAGAGCAUAAAAGACUUCUGGGACUCUAUCAAGCAUACCAGUAUAUGCAUGAGGGGAGUCCCAGAAGGAGAAGAAAGAGAGAAAGGGACAUAAUAUUUGAAGAAAUAAUGGUAGAAAAUGUCCCAGCUUUGAUGAAAUACAUGAAUCUAGAUAUUCAAGAGGCUCAAAGAACCCUAAAUAGGGUAAACUCAAAAAGACCCACACCGGAAUGCAAAAGUGAGCUGGGUGUGGUGGCACGUGCCUGUGGUCCCAGCUACUCGAGAGGCUAAGGCAGGAAAAUCACUUGAACCCAGGAGGCAGAGAUUGCAGUGAGCCGGGAUUGCGCCAGCGCACUCCAGCUGGGCGACAGAGCGAGAUUCCAUCUCGAAAAAAAAAAAAAAAAAAAACUAUUGCUGCAGUCAUUCAGAUGGAAAUGGGGAAAGAAUAAUAUUAACUGAUUUCAAAAAGGACUUGAAGAUGUGAAUCAUCUAUUUUGCUGAAGAAAUCUUAACUCUUUGAAAUUACUUUUUGUUGCUGUUGUCAUACUCUUAGGUGCCAAACUGCGGUAAAUUUUUAAUCAGUGAAGUGGAAGCAUGUGUUUUGUUGUUUUGGGAAUUUUUAUCAAGUAUCUUCAGAGAAGAUUAUUUCCUGCUUUGUCUUCAAAAACUGGAAAGGAAGGGUCAAAGAAAAGACAGUAGCUGGCCGGUCAUGGUGGCUCAUGCCUGUAAUCCCAACACUUUGGGAGGCUGAGGCGGGCAGAUCACCUGAGGUUGGGAGUUCGAGGCCAGCCUGACCAACGUGGAGAAAUGCCAUCUCUACUAAAGAUGCAAGGAUUGGCCGGGCGUGGUGGCCGCGUGCCUGUGAUCCCAGCUGCUCAGGAGGCUGAGGCAGGAGAAUCGCUUGGACCUGGGAGGUGGAGGUUGCGGUGAGCUGAGAUCACGCCAUUGCACUCCAGCCUGGGCAACAAGCGAAACUCUGUCUCAAAAAAAGAAAAGACAGUAGCUUAUGUUCAUGUCAAGCACCUCUCAUCACAGUCUAGUUCCAAGGAAAAAUUCCAGCAUUUUCUACAUUGGGUGCUGCGUCAUCUGAAAUCGGCACAUUCCGUGGAGGAAGGAGUCCUGCUUUGUUGCAUGUAUCCUAGGGUUUAAUGUUGGUAAAUGAGUCACUCUAGCAUUUGUAGAAGGCUCCCUGAGACUCCUGCAGCAGUCGACCAAGCCCAAGGACAUAAUUGAAUCUGGAGAGUCCUGGGGCCUUGUUUUGAAAAAGACUUGAAAUACACAUAGGAAGAAAGGCAUAAAAAUAAAUGUUCACUUGUCUCUGCUGUGA
rnacentral:antisense_RNA from 1 species